rnacentral:lncRNA from 1 species
AUGCUAUAUUACAAAUGUCGGGGUAUAAAGGCAGCACCUUGUGCUAUCUUUGUACAUUAACAAUAAUCCCCGAGUAUUAUCCGGUUAGGUUACAGGUCCUGUAGGAGAAACAGGAUCACUGCCUAUGAAAAUAGGCGUACGGCUUGUGUGAUGUAUAACUGUUCCUUUUGGUCUGAGAAGUUUGCUCGAUACUUCCUGACCAUAUGAAGUAGUUAGACUUUUCUUUGCAUAGCACGUUAAUUAGCUCAGAGACAAACAAAUGGGUGAUACUGUUGCUUAAAUUGUUGUUGCCCAAUGAUAUUAACAUUUUAGGGCUCCUCGGUCGUAGAACUUACCGAUAGAUGGGAUCUGAACUGUAACUAUUUUUCAUAUACUCAUAUUGUUGUUCACGUUUAUUUGUUAUUACUCCCUCCGUCCCAAAAUUCUUGUCUUAGAUUUGUCUAAAUACGGAUGUAUCGAGUCACAUUUUAGUAUUAGGUACAUCCGUAUCUAGACAAAUUUAAGACAAGAAUUUUGGGACGGAGGGAGUAUAAUUUUGUAAUGUUCGUCCUGCUGUUUUUUUUCCUUCUUCAUUUGAUUACUUGUGGACUCAUUGGUGUUGCUGCUAGUUUAUACAGUAGCAUGAAGGAUGUUUGAUUUAACCGUGGUGAAGGUUACACGCAACUCAUUGUGUAAAUUUAGUGGGGCUCGCCGGAAAUCUAACGGGAUACAAGAAACUCGGAUUUGAGGUAGUACAGGUCAGAUGAAUUGAAUCGAAUUUUCUUGUGAUGGUUGUGGCAAAACUUUCAAAAAAUAUUCAUUGACAUGGACAGAUGAUCUAUCCGGGGUCACAUCAGUACUGGAGCAAACUGUCUCCUCUCAAAAAUUGAUACACACUAAUUAUUUCCUGGCACUAGAUUACACAUGCCCUAAGAUAGGUUAGUCUUGAAUAAUCUCUACAAGUGAGAGAGAGAGUGAUAUCUGCAAAAGAUAUUACAUAUGCUACAGCUAGAGCUGAUCAAAGAGAGAAGGAAGGAGAUUCAGUUCCCAACUAAUUGUGAUUUUUGUUGGAGCCGCUCUUGGGAAAUUUCCUCAUGCUGGCGUCGAACCCCACCUCCACGGGCUUGCCGUUCGCCGCCGCCGGAAGAGGAUCGCCCUUGAUGUGGAACUCGUUGGUCUCCAUGCCCACGGCCGUGGUGGGCCUGGGUUGUGCGGCCAGCAACAACCUCCUUGCCGCAGGACCGCGGCGACCCUGCUGCCACAGCCACGGCGAUGCUGUCGCGUCCAGAGACAUGGCGGCUGUUGUCGUCGACGGCGUGAGCAAGAGGAGAUGGAGCAGGAGUAUGGAGGCGAGGAGGCAGGAGACGACGACGGCGACGCUCCGGCGGUUGCCUGCAGCCUGCAGCUUAGUCUUCAUGGCACUUGAUCGAACCGUAAGGUUGGAGACUUGGAGUGUGGUGGGAGUUGAAGAGUUGGAGCUGUAGUGUUGUCUUCUACGGCGCGCGUAUAUAAUGCUCAAGUGCACGCAGCUUCCACUGGUGGAUCGGGCGGAGUACGUGGGAACAUGGAGUGAACAUGUGACGCCAUGUCUUAAGUUAUACUAGUCGGGAAUGGAGCAAAAGAGAGUCACGGAGCAUAUGGGGCGAGCUGUGGGAACAUGUCACCCCGAGAUCUGGAUCCAUUUCCUCCAUUCCAGCCAGCUGAUUCAUCCACAUUACGAAUUCUGUAGAAACUAAUACUAGCGCUACAUAGGAUAUAUGUGCAGCGCCCCGGUUUUCCAGUACGUUGCCACUUUACAUGCAUCGAGUUUACACUGGCGAAUAUCACGGGAGGGCGUUGUUCGUUCGUUCGGACUUGGCGCCAAGGCCGACCAUGUGAUGCUUAUCUUUGACUAAUAAUCCACCGCCGUCCGGCCGAAAUACCUACGAUCUUCCUCUUCUUCGGAGCUGAUCUUUUUGACUGGUUUCAUGUGAUCAGAUGGAACAUUCAUCAUCCAUUUUCUAUGGCACGCAGAGCAUAAUAUCAAACCAGUGUGACAAUGCAUCCUACAGAUUCAGAUCGGCUGGGGUAGCUAGCAAAGUGCUUAAUUAUAUAAGUAUAGGCGUGGUAGAUCGUGGAGGGGUACGGCCAACCGGGUAGUUACAAACGUAUCAUACACGGAUGCACUGUUCCUUGCAUCUGUAACCGCAGCAGCUGUAUGGUCUGGACUCAUCAUACUAGCAUUAUAUCAAGAAACAUUUUUUCUUUUUUCAAAAUAUCUCAAGAAACAAUGAAAAAAAAAACAUAGUGUAUCGAUCAAGUUUGGAAAGUUGAUUCAUCUCAACACAUGCUGCUACACUUAAUCUACUUCUAUAUAUUGUUAACUGAACUACCAGUUAAUUGAAAAUGUGAUGAUCCUAAUGAGCGCCCAAUGGAGUACCUAUAAAAUGGCAGUGAUCUGAUCUCCACAUGGAACAAGGUUGGCCAUGGACCAUCUGCCUCCUCAGUCCGCAGAUUUGACCAGCUAAUUCAGCUGAGUUAAUCACCCAGCAUUUUCCUUGCAUCGCUUCUCUCCAAUCAUUGCCACCUUGUUGGCCUCUUCUCUUGGAGUUGGAGACUUAUUUGGAUGAUCCAUGUUUCACAUGCAACUGGUCAAGGACUCAAGGGGCUAGUCCCUCUACGGAUUUGACUAGCCAUUGGCUAAGUUUAUAAACUGCCCUGGUGUUUCUUGUUCAUGGCCCAGUCAUGCAUCCAGACAUUGUCUUGGCCUUUUUCUCUUGGACCACUGUGAAACAUGGCAUACUGAACAUGGGGCAUUGGGUUUAACAUAAUAUGAUACGUACUUACUUAGCAUUGUUAGGAGGGGCCGGAGAGCUAGGCACUUAUUGUCUGCAUUUCUUAAGUCUUUCUAGAUGGCCACAGAUUAGAAGGGGGCUUCUCAAGUGAAGACAAGUAUAUGUCCUCUCUUUUGAAUUUCAUUUCCUCUGGGAAAAUUAUGAAUUCGCAUUGAACUCCUCUAUGACAUCGCUGCUUUACUGACCUACUCCAUUGUACUAAAAAAACAACGGAGGUGUGUGGAUGUAGAAUUCAUGAAAGUACUGUACAAGUACUAACGAAUAGGAAUUAGACCAUAAAAGGGGAUGUAGCUCAAAUGGUAGAGCGCUCGCUUUGCAUGCGAGAGGCACGGGGUUCGAUCCCCCGCAUCUCCAACAUUUUUCUCUUUUUCUCAUAAAAAAACAUCACCAUUUUACAGUUCUCUUCUAUCUUUUACUUGUUGUAUAAGGGGGGACAAGGAGAUGGCCUGAGGUUCGAUAUAAUGCUCGAGUUCAUUGUUUUGCAAGGUAACGCGGCACACAUUUAGCUUUUUUAUGUAUCAAGGCAGAACCAGUUAAAAGCUAGAUUUAGCGUUUUGUUGUACUGUUGGUUAUAAUGGUUUCAUUAAUUUAAAGUCGUACGCCAGCCUCUUUUCUAAAAAAGAUUGCCAAGGGAAGUGACCUUUUAUACUACUUGGUGGGCAGGGGCAUUGGCUCCUGUUUUUUGAAAUGAUUCAAAAAUCGUAUUUACAAGUUUCAAAGAAAUUAAAAAAAAAGAACUGCACAAACUUAUACAUAUUCACAAUAGAUCUGUGAAUUUUCGUUCAAAAAUAUAAUUUGCAAGCUGCACAAAAUAAAAAAAAUCCCAGCCCAACAAUAAACAAAGACUGGCUCAUUUUCAUGUACAUUUUUGAUUUUUUGCCUACAUCACGCGUGAAAGUAUAUUGUUAUGAAAAUUUUCUUGAACAUGUUAUAUGUGUAUUUGUACAAAAAAAUUCUAAAAAAAUGGGCGUUGUUGAAUUCUUUUUUUAAGUCCACAUAGUGCCCGUCCACCGUUGGGCAUUUCGUUAUACUACCUCCAUUCCUAAAUUUAAACUGGGGCAGUUUAAAUUUAGGAAUGGAGGUAGUAGAAGCACGCGAUCCUACUAGACAUGGAAGGAAUAAACUUAAAAAUAUGAUGAUUAUUUUUAUUUUCUUCUAAUCUUCUAUUUCAUACAAAUAUUACAUGUUCCCGGAAUAAAACACUCCUGCAGAUAACUUUUGUAACAAACACUUGCAUGUGUAUCUUUUGCUGCACAAACACUUACAAAGCGCUUGAUGCCAAAACCUAUAUGAGCAAGUAUCUUUUCAAGGUAUCACAUAUGAACCGAAUAUGUGAUGGCCAGUAAUCUUUACAUGGCGGCCCAUCUUGAACAACAAUAAAAGAAUGAGCAGCAUAUUUGGCAACCUUCCCCCUUUCAGGUAAAGACCAGAUAAUGCUAUCUCCUUAACAUUCUGAACGAGGGCAGAUUCUGAACGCUUGAAACACCUCCAAUUGUAAGCUCUUGCUCUAACUGGCCUAGUGUGGACUUCAGAACCUCCUGAUAGUAAGAUGAAAGAAAGGUCACCAAUUGAACAAUGGUGAAGGAACAAGAAACCAUUAGCAUGCACACAACGCAUCGUGUAUAAAGAACGCUCACGUUGAAUUCCAUAUAACUAGCUCUCCUUGCAAGCCACUGAGCAUCGAGCAUCUGAAAAGCUAGGCAGAAAAGGUUAUCGAAAGCCAUCUCGUCAUCUUCAAGUAGUUGAGCAAAGCCAACUCUUGCUUUUGAGCUCCUCCUAUUUUCUGCAAAGAAGCAAAAAAAAAAUCUUCACAGGUUGAUCUGCUUAAGGAACCAAACUACACAUGCAAUCAAGGGAGAGUACUAGUCACAGAAAAGCGAAGAGCACAACGUGCAACCGACCCCCGACCCCCGCGUCCCUCUCUGAGGCGACACGGGGGGAACCCCAUCUGCCCCGCCGCCGGCGCCCCCUUCCCCGCCUCCCUCCCUCGCCGCCGUCGUGGUCCGCUGCGGGGCAAAGCCCUGGCAGUGCCGGCGGUGGCGGGGCAUCUCCCCGGAGCAGCUCCCCUCCCUUCCCCAACGACGGCUCGGAUCUGCCCGCUGGUGCCUUGGCAGCAUGGUGCGGUGGAAGCACGGUGGCAUCCCUGCUCGGCGCCGGAGGUGGUGGGGCGCCUGCUGCCGGUGGUGCUGCCUCGACGGCUGGUGCAGCCCGGGACCUGGGAUCGACCUUGGCUGGAUCUGGGCGGCGGGGUUCGGGGCUGUGACCUCUGUUAGGCGUGGCGUGGUGUUCCCGUGGCUCUGCUGCGACUCGCUCCGGGGGGUGGUUGGCUAGCGGUGGGUUGGUGGUGCUGGCUGGCGGCGCCCGGAGCGCGGAUCCGGGGAUCUCGGUCCGGAUCUGGUGCGUCUUCGACGCUGGCCAGCGUGGUGCUCACGGCAGGGAGUGCGGCGGUUGUCUCCGGAUCCUUGCGUGGAGCGUAGCAGGUUCGAGGGUGUAGGUGGUGCACCGGCACUGGCGGUGGCGGCGGCGCGAGUGCAGCCAUGGCGGCGGCGGCGCUGCGAGGCCUUGCCAGGAAGGGUCUUGGCGGGCAGCGGGCGUUCGGUUGCUGCCGUGUGAGGCGUGCGGCGAUGCCUCGGCGGUGUGGGUGCCGGCGUGUGGUCAGAGGUGCGAGUCGGAUCCAUUCUGGUGGCAGUCCCUUGGUGCGGGUGAAGGCCGCCGUGGUGGAACUGGCUUUGCACCGGUCGGUGGUUGUUGCGGCUCCUAGUCGAUGUUGAAGGGGAUGGCUUUUGGCGUGUUCCCUCGGCAGUGAGGGGGGCUUCGAUGGCAAGUUGUUGCGGUGACAGCGGUGCGAGGCAUCUGAUCGGGACUGGCCGGGAUCUUGGAGACGUGGAGAUGUGCAGUACUACGGAUGAAAAUCCUGUUCGGUUGCGGCCGAACCGGCAUUUAUGGCACCUGCGGGUGUCAUUCACCUUCCUGGAGGCUUCGUCGAGUGCAACACCAUCUUCCUCGCGACCUCGUAUCGGCAACUGUCUCCGGGGCGAAAGCCUUGAUUCGUAGGAUCGGCAUGAUGGCAACGUCUUUGAGGUUGUUACUCUGUUGGGAGCAUUGUGCUGGGAGACUCAAGGUCCCAUGAUGCGCUCCUCCGGUGUUCACCGUUGCCCGGAUCUUUCUCCUCCGACGCCAUGUACGGUCGUCGCUGGCUAAUCCAAGGAAGCUGGAGUUGCUGUUAAUCGGAGGUCUUCAGUGUCGGCCGAGACGCGGCGAGGGGCUUGGUGUUGGGCAGGCUUUUUGUGUCUUAGCUGUGUUGUUGUGUUUGGUUGUCCUUGUUCGUAUCGAGUGUGGAGUUGGUCACAUUCGUUGUUCGCAACGAGUGGUAGACGUUGUUGUAUGUCUUAUUUCUCUUCUUCUAUAAAGCUAAGGUACGCAAUUUGCGUACCCUCGGAAAAAAAAGCGAAGAGCCAAAGACUCCCAGGGGCGACUCGGGUGGCGAAACCCUAGCCGCCACCCAAGCCGCCUCCCUCCCCUCGCCGCCGCCGGAGGAUGCCGGCGGGCGAAGCCCACGUCGGUGGACGGCGGCGGUGGGGCCCUUGUUCGCAUGCUCGCGCGCAGGUGUUGGGCGCGCUGGAGCGGCGGGAGCGUGCGGUGGCGUGGCGGACGGCGGUCUGCGCGCAGGGGAGGUCGAGAUGNNNNNNNNNNNNNNNNNNNNNNNNNNNNNNNNNNNNNNNNNNNNNNNNNNNNNNNNNNNNNNNNNNNNNNNNNNNNNNNNNNNNNNNNNNNNNNNNNNNNNNNNNNNNNNNNNNNNNNNNNNNNNNNNNNNNNNNNNNNNNNNNNNNNNNNNNNNNNNNNNNNNNNNNNNNNNNNNNNNNNNNNNNNNNNNNNNNNNNNNNNNNNNNNNNNNNNNNNNNNNNNNNNNNNNNNNNNNNNNNNNNNNNNNNNNNNNNNNNNNNNNNNNNNNNNNNNNNNNNNNNNNNNNNNNNNNNNNNNNNNNNNNNNNNNNNNNNNNNNNNNNNNNNNNNNNNNNNNNNNNNNNNNNNNNNNNNNNNNNNNNNNNNNNNNNNNNNNNNNNNNNNNNNNNNNNNNNNNNNNNNNNNNNNNNNNNNNNNNNNNNNNNNNNNNNNNNNNNNCGACGGCUGGCCGCUGCAGCGAGCGGCAGAGCUGCAGGCGCCCAGAUCUGGGCCGCGCGGGCCCGCCCUGGCCCGCGUCAACCACUCCGCCCCUGCCCACCCUUCUCCCUCCUCCCACCCCUCCCGGCCGCCGCCAGUGGUCGCCCGCGACAACUCUGACGGUUGCUGCGAUGCUGUGCCCCGGCGGAUCCUGGUGGUGGAGGCUGCGGGCCGGCGCAGCGGCGGCGCGGUGCAGGUGACUGCUGUCGCCUGCUGGACGCGCUCCCGGCGGUGGCCGGCCUGCUGGCGCUGCGCUGGCCGGUGCCCAUUUCUGCGACUGUCGACGUUCCUAGGCUUCCCUCCUCCAUGUGUGUUUGUCUUCUCCGGCGUUCUCUGCCAUGUCCGGUCUGAAUCUGCAUCUGAGGUCCUUGCUCAUGGGUCGGGGCGAAAUCCCCGCGCGGCGAUAGCCUGCGCUGUCAACGGCGACGCCCGAGGGUGCCGUCACCUCCUUGGAGGCGUUGGCAUGACCCUGACCGGACCUCCUCCUAGAGCACCGGGAGAAAUCCUAGGUCCGGCCUCCGGACCGGGCAGCGGCGGCGUCUCAACGCCGUUACCCUCUUGAUGGCGCUGCUUUGGUUGCAUGCGGAGUUUGAUGCGGCAGAUGGUGGCUGGCGUCGACGGCUGCACAGGGAGCAGGUCGCAACGUAUGCCAGCGUCGGCGCUCCCCCAACGAAUGUUACGCCAGUUCCUGCCAGGCCCUGCCUUUCACCCGCCGACUCCUAGGCACAUGGGUGUGUGGUACGUUGGUCUGGGCAGUCCUGGAGCUGCAAUCGUCCCUGGUGGUGUCUAGCAAUGGCGGUGAUGCUGCCCUGUUGCUCCGAGUCUCGGCGCCUCGCCAUCUUUGGCUGGAGGUCUGGCUGGGCGAGGCCUAAUGUCGUUGUGUGUUGUAGUUGAGGGCACCUCCUUACCUACUUGUAGUCGCUUGGUGAGGACGGUGUGUGUGUGUGUGUGUGUGUGUGUGCGCGCGCGCGCGCGUGUGUGCGUGUGCGUGCGUGUGUGUGUGUGUGUGUGUCCCUCCUUCCUGGAGGUUGUACCCCCGAUGUCUUCCUGUUCAAUGCAAUGAAACGCAAACUCUUUUGCGUUUUCUCGAAAAAAAAGGGAGAGUAGAUUUAAAUGAAGAUAAAGCAUUUUGACCAGUUAUUGCAUUCACUUCACCUGAUUGUAAAUCCAGCAUUUGACCUAACAUAUAAGAUACAUUUACGCCAGCUACUGCAAAAGGAUAUUCCCAUUCAGCUCUCUCACCAUCUGCCUUGUGUAAUAGCCGAUGAAAGGAAUCCUGCAUGUUAAGCAGGUAUUCAGCAUUUAACCAGAUUGAAAUACCAACUAACAGUGGAUUUAUAAGGAGCAAGUGCCCAUGAUGAACAGAAACAUACUGGGUAAUUUCUUGCAAAAUAUAUUAGAUUUUCCAAGGACAUGAAUCCCCCAGACCUGCAAGCAUCGGAUAGCUCAUGAGAACAGUCAUCUCAGUUCAAGUGAGUAGUGACGUUGAAAGAGAAAAACAGCAGAUAGCUUCUUAAAAUAUGAAUAGUUGAAAAAAUGAACCUAAAAUCUGUUGCUGGGUCAGAGUUCUGCCAGCCCAUUUCCUUCCAUAGAUCUGAUUUCAGAGGAGGAAGUUCUCGGUUAGGAUAAGCCAAUCUCCAAAGUUCUUUUAGUGCAUCCUGUAAUGGGAGAAGUAGCAUGCCGUUCAUGAAUAUAAGCAUAUUAACAUAUUAAUGAUUUAAACUAGCAUUGACUUGCUCAAGAGCAGAAAAAAUGCCACAUAAACUAGAUAAAAGAUGAGAACCUGGUGCUUGACAGCGGAACAAUCAAAUGGCACAUUUAAUCUUUGUCUCAAGAAUUUUAAUCUCUCCUCCUAUAAAGUAAAUUAAAACUGUCAAAAACAUAAUAACAUGUCAAAAGAAAUUAAACAAAUGUAAACACUGAUAUAACAAUAAUGUUGGCGGCAUUGCUUCCCUGAAGGAGGUAGAAAUUAAGCACACAAGUCAAUAUCCAAAUGAUAAAGCACACAUGAGAAAAUAGCAACAAAUGUUCCAUCAAUAUGCCAACAUUUUGUUCAUGAACGUAAAUGCGCAAUUAAGUAAGAAUAUUUUCUAUUGUUCACACCCGAAAAGAUAUUUAGACGAGGGGCAAAUUAAACGUUGUGGGGUUCAUGAAACAACCAAGUCCUCCAAGAACUUAAGAUGUUAUAGGCAGGAUGGGAAAUUGUACCCCGGUUUUCAGCCAAAGGUAUCAAAUAUCUCUAAGAAUGUGCAUCAAAUUACAGGUGGCGCUUAACACACUCCUACUUCAUAAAUUUGCACUUACAAUAAAACCUUUCCGUGUUCAAUAUACAACAUUUCAAACAAAGAACACAAAAUCUGCAGGUGCCACAGUACCUGUAAUGGACUGAGGUGAAUUAGCAUUGUCUGUGCAUUUUGUGAACUUUGGGGAGCACGGGAGCAACCAAAGAACCUUGCUAGGAACGAACCAAACUCCGAAAUAGCAUUUACUGCAAAGAAAAGCAAAUCUUCAGAGCAUUAAAAGCCUACAAGGAAGAAACGACAAUAGCAAGCACAACAUAUUAUUCAGAAAGGUAUAUCCGCGUAAUUUAUGCAUAAAUGAGAUGUCAAAAGAAAAUUACGCACAAAUGAUUUCAGCUUAAUCAAAAUCCUCACUAGCUUAUCAGAACCUACACAGUCAAUGUUGCAAAAGGGAAGAUCAUGAAACAGGCAUAUGUUUUGAAGAACCGGGUACAUUAGAUUCAAGUGAUAGUGAGAUGAUUGUUUAUUCUCAGGUAAUAAGUACAGCAUGUGGCCUUUCUGGAUCGAAGCUAGUGACAAUUACCUAUCUUUCUUGCAGACUGAGUAAUAAAAGUAGAUACAAUAUGCACCCAAUGAAGGCACUCGCGUGAUUUUCCAUCCCAGAAAUCCGGUAUAGGCUCAUACCCCUUCAAGAGACGCAGAAUCAAGGACAUUAGGAAAACACAGAAAAAAAA